rnacentral:rRNA from 1 species
UACGUAGGGUGCGAGCGUUAAUCGGAAUCACUGGGCGUAAAGGGCGCGUAGGCGGCCAUAUAAGUCGGGGGUGAAAGCCUGUGGCUCAACCACAGAAUUGCCUUCGAUACUGUAUGGCUCGAGACCGGAAGAGGUAAGUGGAACUGCGAGUGUAGAGGUGAAAUUCGUAGAUAUUCGCAAGAACACCAGUGGCGAAGGCGGCUACUGGCCCGGUUCUGACG